UCCACCUCUUCCCCCUCCUCUCCCCCGGCCGUUCCAUACUUUUGUUUUUCUGAAGUUUUAGUGGAGGGGACUUUGGAUACUUAUGUGAAAUGUUUUUGGUGGUUUGUUUUGUUUGGGACAAAGUACGACGGAGGUCUGCUGUAGUCCACUGGAAUUUUUGGAGUAACAGAUCCAUGGGCAACCAUGGAGACAAAUGUUUUACUGCCUUUUGAACAGUCUCAAGACACUCUACAAGCGUGCUGGCGCCAGUGAAAGAAUAACCCAGAAUACUAUGAAUCUAUGUUUUGCGUUGUUUGUCUGUGGUGUUUGUCUUGUUGCUAGCAUGACGUGGGUGGGGGAUGGCUUCAAAAGGCUGACAGGGGUGGAAAAUGUGUACGAAAACGCAAAAUGCUCAACGAGGAGGCCAGCACCUGUGUAACAGCUACCAUGGUACCUGAAAAUAGAACGGCAACUAAAAUGAUGCUUGCUAAAAGUUUACCCCAAUAAACAUCAAAUUGUUUGCGCCUUUGAA